rnacentral:rRNA from 1 species
GACGAACGCUGGCGGCGCGCUUAACACAUGCAAGUCGAGCGAUGAAAUUUCGACAGAUCCCUUCGGGGUGAAGAUGAAAUGGAUUAGCGGCGGACGGGUGAGUAACACGUGAGUAACCUGCCUUUGACAUUGGGAUAGCCUCGGGAAACUGGGAUUAAUACCAAAUGACACUAACUGAUCACAUGAUCAAUUAGUCAAAGAAAUUCGGUCAAAGAUGGACUCGCGGCUGAUUAGCUAGUUGGUGAGGUAACGGCCCACCAAGGCGACGAUCAGUAGCCGGCCUGAGAGGGGGAUCGGCCACAUUGGAACUGAGGCACGGUCCAAACUCCUACGGGAGGCAGCAGUGGGGAAUAUUGCACAAUGGGGGAAACCCUGAUGCAGCGACGCCGCGUGAGCGAAGAAGGCCUUCGGGUCGUAAAGCUCUUUUAUGAGGGAAGAGAAUGACGGUACCUCAAGAAAAAGCCCCGGCUAACUACGUG